GUAUAUAACCAGUGUAUAACCCAGUAUAUAACCAGUGUAUAACCAAGUAUAUAACCAGUGUAUAACCAAGUAUAUAACCAUGUAUAACCCAGUAUAUAACCAGUGUAUAACCCAGUAUAGAACCAGUGUAUAACCCAGUAUAGAACCAGUGUAUAACCCCGUAUAGAACCAGUGUAUAACCCAGUAUAUAACCCAGUAUGUAACCAGUGUAUAACCCAGUAUAUAACCAGUGUAUAACCCAGUAUAUAACCCAGUAUAGAACCAGUGUAUAACCAUGUAUAUAACCAGUGUAUAACCAUGUAUAUAACCAGUGUAUAACCCAGUAUAUAACCAGUGUAUAACCAUGUAUAUAACCAGUGUAUAACCCAGUAUAUAACCCAGUAUAUAACCAGUGUAUAACCCAGUCUAUAACAAGUUUAUAACCCUGUAUAUAACCAGUGUAUAACCCAGUAUAUAACCAGUGUGUAACCCUGUAGAUAACCAGUCUAUAACCAAGUAAUAACCAGUGUAUAAUCCUGUAUAUAACUGGUAUAUAAUCAGAAAAACCUCUAUACUUGUUGUUGAUUGGUGGAUGUGUUUCAGAUCCUGGAUCUGUCGUCCAAUAGGAUCAUAGUUCUUCCUCCAAAAAUCAUCUACCCCCUCGAGGUCAUAGAGACGCUUUACCUAGAAAACAACAAGAUCCAGGCGAUUCCAGAUGACUGGUUCAGCGUACAGGACAUGGGAAUCCCCUAUCUGUUCCUCUCGGCCAAUCCGUGGCGCUGCUCCUGUUCCCUUGGCUACCUGCACGAUUACCUUCUAGAAUUCGAAUCCUCGGUGUAUGUGAGAAAUGGGACAGUCGUCAACUCAAGGCCAAAGAGUGUGGUGUGUCACUCUCCUGGGAGGCUGGAGGGGAGACCUGUGAUUGACCUGAAGGCUGAGGACCUCUGCCCCCCUAUCAUUACUACUGCUCCUACUUCUCUUACUGCCCCCCCUACUACUGCUGCUCCUACUACUACCACUGCUCCUACUACUGCUGCUCCUACUACUACUACUACUGAUCCUACUACUACUGCUGCUCCUACUACUACUACCACUGCUCCUACUACUGCUGCUCCUACUACUACUACUACUGAUCCUACUACUACUACUACUGAUCCUACUACUACUGCUGCUGCUACUACUACCACUACUGAUCUUACUACUACUAAUGCUCCUACUACUACCACUGCUCCUACUACAACUGCUGCUAUUACUACUGCUUCUACUACUCCUCCUGCUCCUACUAUGCUCCUCCAAUGGGUGAGCAGCACAGAGUAUCCAGUGGCUGCCAUCGGUAGUUCCAGUGGUAUCGCCACGUCGACGCCCACCCCGAUGCCCAACACCUCCGUGGCGACGGCCGCCGUGGCAACGGCCGCCGUACCGACCGAGGUCGGAGGGUUCCAGCCGGGGGCCAGACGCGGCGGCGGCGGCGGCGGCGUGCGUGCGUACUGCGCCUGGCUGUUUGCAGGGUGUGUGUUGCUGUGCGCGCUGUCGCUGGCGUGCACGGCGCUGUCCACGGCGUGGCUGGUCCUGUGGUACCGCCGGGCGCACGGAGCCCCCCUCAGAGACGCACCGAGGGAGAAGAGGGGAGGAGGGGGACGAAGGCUGGAGUCGCUGAGGAUGAUGAGCUGCCGGAAGGGAAGGAGGGUUGAAGAGGAGAGAGGAGGAGGAGGAGGAGGAGGAGGAGGAGGAGGAGGGACCGCACUCUACCGCUCGGUCCUGUUUGUCUCUAGAGGGGUGGAGCCC
ensembl:lncRNA